rnacentral:misc_RNA from 1 species
UCACCAUAUCAAGCUUGGCUUGUUGUUGGGCCCUUUGUCACCUGGUGACAGGUCCGAAAGACAAUGACCGGUGUCAUAGACUCCAUAUGCAACGAGCUGAUCACAGCACGCAUCUGGUAGUCGUGUGACCCGCUGGAAGCCUCUGGCACCCUCUCUCAA